CACAAGCGGUGGAGCAUGUGGUUUAAUUCGAUGAUACGCGAGGAACCUUACCUGGGCUCAAAUGUAUGUUGACGUAUUCUGAAAGGGAUACUUCUUCGGACAAUAUACAAGGUGCUGCAUGGUUGUCGUCAGCUCGUGCCGUGAGGUGUCGGGUUAAGUCCCAUAACGAGCGCAACCCCUAUCAUUAGUUGCCAUCAGGUCAAGCUGGGGACUCUAAUGAAACUGCCUACGCAAGUAGUGAGGAAGGUGGGGAUGACGUCAAGUCCUCAUGGCCUUUAUGACCAGGGCUACACACGUACUACAAUGGCCGAUACAAAGGGCAGCGACACUGCGAGGUGAAGCCAAUCCCGUAAAAUCGGUCUCAGUCCGGAUUGGAGUCUGCAACUCGACUCCAUGAAGUUGGAAUCGCUAGUAAUCGUGGAUCAGCAUGCCACGGUGAAUACGUUCCCGGGCCUU
rnacentral:rRNA from 1 species